AUUAAGGGCGCACGGUGGAUGCCUUGGCACUAGAAGCCGAUGAAGGACGUUACUAACGACGAUAUGCUUUGGGGAGCUGUAAGUAAGCUUUGAUCCAGAGAUUUCCGAAUGGGGAAACCCAGCAUGAGUUAUGUCAUGUUAUCGAUAUGUGAAUACAUAGCAUAUCAGAAGGCACACCCGGAGAACUGAAACAUCUUAGUACCCGGAGGAAGAGAAAGAAAAUUCGAUUCCCUUAGUAGCGGCGAGCGAAACGGGAAGAGCCCAAACCAACAAGCUUGCUUGUUGGGGUUGUAGGACACUCUAUACGGAGUUACAAAGGACGACAUUAGACGAAUCAUCUGGAAAGAUGAAUCAAAGAAGGUAAUAAUCCUGUAGUCGAAAAUGUUGUCUCUCUUGAGUGGAUCCUGAGUACGACGGAGCACGUGAAAUUCCGUCGGAAUCUGGGAGGACCACCUCCUAAGGCUAAAUACUCUCUAGUGACCGAUAGUGAACCAGUACCGUGAGGGAAAGGUGAAAAGCACCCCGGAAGGGGAGUGAAAUAGAACCUGAAACCGUGUGCUUACAAGUAGUCAGAGCCCGUUAAUGGGUGAUGGCGUGCCUUUUGUAGAAUGAACCGGCGAGUUACGAUUUGAUGCAAGGUUAAGCAGUAAAUGUGGAGCCGUAGCGAAAGCGAGUCUGAAUAGGGCGUUUAGUAUUUGGUCGUAGACCCGAAACCAGGUGAUCUACCCUUGGUCAGGUUGAAGUUCAGGUAACACUGAAUGGAGGACCGAACCGACUUACGUUGAAAAGUGAGCGGAUGAACUGAGGGUAGCGGAGAAAUUCCAAUCGAACCUGGAGAUAGCUGGUUCUCUCCGAAAUAGCUUUAGGGCUAGCCUCAAGUGAUGAUUAUUGGAGGUAGAGCACUGUUUGGACGAGGGGCCCCUCUCGGGUUACCGAAUUCAGACAAACUCCGAAUGCCAAUUAAUUUAACUUGGGAGUCAGAACAUGGGUGAUAAGGUCCGUGUUCGAAAGGGAAACAGCCCAGACCACCAGCUAAGGUCCCAAAAUAUAUGUUAAGUGGAAAAGGAUGUGGCGUUGCCCAGACAACUAGGAUGUUGGCUUAGAAGCAGCCAUCAUUUAAAGAGUGCGUAAUAGCUCACUAGUCGAGUGACACUGCGCCGAAAAUGUACCGGGGCUAAACAUAUUACCGAAGCUGUGGAUUGUCCUUUGGACAAUGGUAGGAGAGCGUUCUAAGGGCGUUGAAGCAUGAUCGUAAGGACAUGUGGAGCGCUUAGAAGUGAGAAUGCCGGUGUGAGUAGCGAAAGACGGGUGAGAAUCCCGUCCACCGAUUGACUAAGGUUUCCAGAGGAAGGCUCGUCCGCUCUGGGUUAGUCGGGUCCUAAGCUGAGGCCGACAGGCGUAGGCGAUGGAUAACAGGUUGAUAUUCCUGUACCACCUAUAAUCGUUUUAAUCGAUGGGGGGACGCAGUAGGAUAGGCGAAGCGUGCGAUUGGAUUGCACGUCUAAGCAGUAAGGCUGAGUAUUAGGCAAAUCCGGUACUCGUUAAGGCUGAGCUGUGAUGGGGAGAAGACAUUGUGUCUUCGAGUCGUUGAUUUCACACUGCCGAGAAAAGCCUCUAGAUAGAAAAUAGGUGCCCGUACCGCAAACCGACACAGGUAGUCAAGAUGAGAAUUCUAAGGUGAGCGAGCGAACUCUCGUUAAGGAACUCGGCAAAAUGACCCCGUAAUUCGGGAGAAGGGGUGCUCUUUAGGGUUAACGCCCAGAAGAGCCGCAGUGAAUAGGCCCAAGCGACUGUUUAUCAAAAACACAGGUCUCUGCUAAACCGUAAGGUGAUGUAUAGGGGCUGACGCCUGCCCGGUGCUGGAAGGUUAAGAGGAGUGGUUAGCUUCUGCGAAGCUACGAAUCGAAGCCCCAGUAAACGGCGGCCGUAACUAUAACGGUCCUAAGGUAGCGAAAUUCCUUGUCGGGUAAGUUCCGACCCGCACGAAAGGCGUAACGAUUUGGGCACUGUCUCAACGAGAGACUCGGUGAAAUCAUAGUACCUGUGAAGAUGCAGGUUACCCGCGACAGGACGGAAAGACCCCGUGGAGCUUUACUGUAGCCUGAUAUUGAAAUUCGGCACAGCUUGUACAGGAUAGGUAGGAGCCUUUGAAACGUGAGCGCUAGCUUACGUGGAGGCGCUGGUGGGAUACUACCCUAGCUGUGUUGGCUUUCUAACCCGCACCACUUAUCGUGGUGGGAGACAGUGUCAGGCGGGCAGUUUGACUGGGGCGGUCGCCUCCUAAAAGGUAACGGAGGCGCUCAAAGGUUCCCUCAGAAUGGUUGGAAAUCAUUCAUAGAGUGUAAAGGCAUAAGGGAGCUUGACUGCGAGACCUACAAGUCGAGCAGGGUCGAAAGACGGACUUAGUGAUCCGGUGGUUCCGCAUGGAAGGGCCAUCGCUCAACGGAUAAAAGCUACCCCGGGGAUAACAGGCUUAUCUCCCCCAAGAGUUCACAUCGACGGGGAGGUUUGGCACCUCGAUGUCGGCUCAUCGCAUCCUGGGGCUGUAGUCGGUCCCAAGGGUUGGGCUGUUCGCCCAUUAAAGCGGUACGCGAGCUGGGUUCAGAACGUCGUGAGACAGUUCGGUCCCUAUCCGUCGUGGGCGUAGGAAAUUUGAGAGGAGCUGUCCUUAGUACGAGAGGACCGGGAUGGACAUACCUCUGGUGUACCAGUUGUCGUGCCAACGGCAUAGCUGGGUAGCUAUGUGUGGACGGGAUAAGUGCUGAAAGCAUCUAAGCAUGAAGCCCCCCUCAAGAUGAGAUUUCCCAACUUCGGUUAUAAGACCCCUCAAAGAUGAUGAGGUUAAUAGGUUCGAGGUGGAAGCAUGGUGACAUGUGGAGCUGACGAAUACUAAUCGAUCGAAGACUUAAUCA
rnacentral:rRNA from 1 species